rfam:Gossypium raimondii Chr10_contig_369, whole genome shotgun sequence.
UGUUAAAAAUUUUAUUCAUUUGUACCGUUAAAAAUUGACAUGGUUUACGGAAUAGUUAGACAGUGACAUGUGACGUGCUAUGUAUACCUCAUAUUGACGUAUAUGGACCGAUUUUUAACAGCAUAAACAUAUAAAAUUUUUAACA